AUAAUAUAUUUUAUAAAUCAUGAAAAAACGAUUUAACAAAAGGGUCCAAUGUACGUACACCGCACAAAUGUUUUCAUCAGUAUCGUCAAUUGUAUUAUAUAACAAUAAUAAUCGCUUUCUUGAGCAUGUUAUUAUUACUAUGUUUCGUCAUCUCUCACAUCGCGCGUUCUGACAGUACCUACUGCAACACACGCCGGCCGGGUGUCUUACACUGCUAUGCGGAAGACUAUCUCUAACUUAAAAUAGAUAAAAUAAUCCAUACAAUAUCAACUUUAAGUACUUUACGAGGUUACUCGACAAGGAUUGCAGGUGUUUUCGUUUUUGAGAGUGUACAAAUUAAAGAAGAAGUAAAAUUAGAGAAAAACUUCAAAAUAAUAACUUAACAGUUAUUUUAAUGAAUAAUUGAUGAUACCCGUAUUACAUAAUGUACAGGUUAAUAUCAGAUGUUGAUAAAAAAGUACAACGGCCUCAGCAUCCAAGGGAGAAUGCAAAUAUUUUUGAAAUCAUUUCAUACAGCUGGAUGUUAAAUCUGUUCAAAACAGGACGAAAAAGAGAUUUAGAAGAAGAUGAUUUGUAUAUGACAUUAAACGAACACACUUCAUCAUUAUUGGGAAACGAAUUAGAGAAUAAAUGGAAUUUAGAAUUGGCGAGUGCAUUUAAGCGGGAGCAAAAACCCAGCUUGACGAGAGCCUUGAUUCGAAUGUCUGCUGCUCGAUAUAUGUUUUAUGGUUUUUUACUGUUCGUUGAUAAAAUUAUAUUGAAAAUGUCUCAGCCGCUAUUUAUUGGAGGAAUAUUAGCGUAUUUCAACCCAGUUGGUUCCGACAAAGCUGACUUAGGAUAUGCAUACAUGUGUGCAUUUGGCCUAGUGUUUAGUAUGUUCACUUCGAUGGUCUUGCAAAAUGUAACACUGAUAGAAAUAUUACACUGUGGUAUGAAAAUGCGAAUCGCUUGCUGUUCGAUGAUAUUUAGAAAAUCGCUACGUCUGAGUAACACUGCUAUAAAUGAAACCACGGUCGGUCAAAUGAUAAAUUUAUUAUCCAAUGAUGUAAAUCGGUUCGAUAGAUCCGCGACUUUUCUUCACUAUUUAUGGAUCGGUCCCAUACAGUCAAUUGUGGUCACAUAUUUUUUGUGGCAGGAAAUAGGCGUAUCUUCAUUAUUGAGUAUUGCUGUCAUGAUUCUAAUAAUUCCAUUUCAAGGAUGGCUUGGGAAAAAAAUUUCCGAAAAUCGACUGAAAACAGCCAAAACAACUGACGAGAGAAUACGUUUAAUGAAUGAAAUCAUUUCUGGUAUUAAAGUAAUUAAAAUGUACACUUGGGAAAAUCUAUUUUCAAAAUGUGUAAAAUAUAUAAGAAAAAAAGAAAUUGAACAUUUAAAAAUAUCAUCAUACAUCAGAGAUACUUUGACGUCGUUAGCAAUAAUUCAAACAAGAUUUCAACUAUUUAUUAGUAUUUUGUCAUACGUAUUACUAGGAAAUUAUAUUACCGUACAAAAAAUUUUUGUCAUAACCACAUACUUCAGUAUAUUAAUGCCCACAAUGACAUUUUUCUUUUGUCAAGGUCUAGGACAAAUUUCAGAAUUGAAAGUUUCAAUAAAACGUAUACAGAAUUUUUUAUUGCACGAAGAAAACAAUGAUCAUAUUAUUAAACCAAAGCAAUCUAUUGCUGAAAAACCAAUGGUUAUAAAUCAUAACGAAUUAAUAGAGUCUGAUGAUAAUAGUACCGACAUAAAAGAUGACAUCGGACGUUUCAAUCAUUUUUGUAUGGUAAUUUCGAAAGCUACAGCUAAGUGGACAGACAAUCAAACCAGAAAUUCUUUAGAAAACAUAUCACUGGCUGUAAGACCUGGUAGCUUGGUCGCAAUCGUUGGUACCGUAGGAGCGGGAAAAAGUUCAUUAAUUCAAGCAAUUUUACGAGAAUUACCACUUUCUGAUGGUGUCAUACAUGUGCGGGGUGUAAUUUCUUACGCGUCACAAGAACCGUGGAUAUUCGCUGGAUCCGUUCAACAGAAUAUUGUGUUCAAUUCACCAAUGGAUAAGGAUCGUUAUAAAAAAGUAAUACAAGUAUGUACAUUGAAAAGUGAUUUUGAACAGUUUCCGUACGGUGAUAAAACAAUUGUGGGAGAAAGAGGUGUUACUCUAAGUGGUGGACAAAAAGUUAGAAUAAAUUUAGCUAGAGCUUUAUACAAACAAGCGGAUAUUUAUUUAUUGGAUAACCCUCUUUCAGCGGUUGACGCAAACGUUGGAAGUCAUUUAUUUGAAAUAGGCAUAAAAGGUUUCCUUAAAGAAAAAACUCGUAUUCUUGUUACUCAUCGAUUGCAGUGUUUAGCUGAUAUGGAUCAAAUUGUGGUUAUGGAAAAUGCAAAAAUAUUAGCAAAGGGUACAUAUGAAGAACUUCAGGCGUCAAAUAUAGACUUAACAAAUCAUAUUCAAUCUUUAAAGUUACCAAAUGAUGAAUAUAUCAUUAGUAAUGAAAGCCUUUUAAGUUCUGAACAAAAGUCUACUUUUGAACGUCAUGCGUCUGUAGCAAGUAUCAAAUUGUCAACUAGUGAAAGUAAUUACAGUGAAAAUACAGCAGAGCCCACUGGAAUGAUUGAGCCCCGAACUUAUGGAACUGUUUCAUAUGCCGUUUAUUUAUUAUAUUUUUUGGCUGGUGGAAGGAAGUGCAAAAUAUUAUUCUUUAUUUUUAUCUGUAUUCUCACUCAAUUAUUGUCUUCUGUUGGAGAUUUUUGGAUAACGUAUUGGGUAAACUUAGAAGAACAUGUUUUUCAAAAUGAAAGUAGUGUGUCUACAUCAACAUUUAAUGAAUCAUUGAGUAAUAUUUGGUGGAUGACAAUUUCUCGACAGACCUGUAUAAAUGUUUUUGGAUGUAUCACACUUUUCUUGAUUAUAGUUACGACCAUCAGAUUAAUUACAUUUGUAUCGAUUAGUAUGAGUGCUUCUAAACAUUUACACAAUAAUAUGUUCAAUACUUUAAUCAGGGCAACAAUAUACUUUUUUAAUACAAAUUUAUCAGGAUCUAUUCUUAACCGUUUUUCAAAGGACAUGGGAACUAUUGAUGAGAUGUUACCUGUAUCAUUGUUAGAUUGUAUACACAAUGGAUUGAACCUAUUGGGAGUAUUGAUAGUUGUUGGAAUUAUAAAUAUAUAUCUUAUGAUUCCAGCUAUCAUAUUAGCAAUUAUUUUUUACAAAAUCACCGUUUUUUAUUUGUCAUUAUCACGGAGUGUUAAACGAUUGGAAGGAAGUACACGUAGUCCUGCAUUCACUCAUUUGAAUGCAACUAUUCAAGGUUUAACGACAAUAAGGGCAUUUAAAGCUGAAAAUAUAUUGUCAAAAGAAUUCGAUAAUCACCAGGACUUACAUUCGUCGGCGUGGUAUUUAUUUAUAACAUCAAGUAGAGCAUUUGCCUUUUGGUUGGAUUUAAUUUGCUUUAUAUAUACAAGCAUAGUUACCUUUAGCUUCAUAGUAAUCAGUAACACAACAUUUGGAGGAAAUGUUGGCCUAGCUAUUUCACAAACUUGUGGACUAGCUGGUCUGGUUCAAUUUGGCAUGCGACAAACAGCGGAAUUAGAAAAUCAUAUGACGUCAGUUGAAAGAGUUCUAGAAUACACGAAUGCUCCACAAGAAUGUUCGUUUGAAUCAUCUACAGAUAAAUUGCUUUCAUUAAAAUGGCCGUCAAAUGGAAGUAUUAUAUUCAAAAACUUCUAUUUAAGAUAUAGUCCAAAAGCACCACAUGCAAUUAAUAACCUGAAUGUAUACAUCGAAUCAAUGCAAAAAAUAGGAAUAGUUGGUAGAACAGGAGCUGGAAAGUCGUCUUUAAUUACAGCCCUAUUUAGAUUAGCUAUAAAUGAAGGUAAUAUCAUAAUCGAUGACAUGGAUAUACACGAAUUGGGACUAAAUGUUUUGCGGUCCAAACUUUCCAUCAUUCCUCAAGAACCAGUAUUGUUCUCUGGAACAAUGCGAACAAAUUUAGAUCCAUUUAAUGAAUACUCGGAUCAUAUUCUUUUAAAUGCAUUAGAUGAAGUCGAGCUUAAAGAUGUUGUUGAAAAUUUACCUAAUGGUCUUAACACGAAAAUUUCCGAAGGUGGUUCCAAUUUCAGUAUUGGUCAAAGGCAAUUAAUAUGCCUAGCUCGAGCUAUUAUUCGAUGUAAUAAAAUUCUUGUACUGGAUGAAGCUACUGCUAACGUCGAUCCACAAUGCAUUGAUUCAAAAUACCAUCAGAUACAAAUUCCGAACAUGUACAGUCUUAACAAUUGCACACCGUUUGAACACUGUUAUGGAUUCGGACAAAGUCCUUGUUUUGGACAAAGGAAUAAUGGUCGAGUUUGACCAUCCUCAUAAUUUGUUACAAAAUAAAGAAGGAGUAUUUUACAAAAUGGUGGAACAGACAGGACCGGCUACAUCUGAUUUUUUACACAGAAUAGCUGAAGAGAGUUAUAAUUCUAUAAGUUUGGUGGCGGAACCGAAAUCCGAAUCAUCUGUCAAUGAUGCAGUUGGAAUUUCAACGAAAAAUGUAUAAUAAUCUUUUUCGUAGUGUCCCAUACUAUUACAUGCCUUAACCAUGAACUUGAAUAAUUUAAAAUCAUAAUAAUAUAUAAUAUGUAUUAUA